rnacentral:misc_RNA from 1 species
GGAGGGGGUGGUGGUGCGACACCAUAAUAAGAUGGAUAGCUGUAUGAUGAUGUUGGAUAUGCAGGCUGAGCAUUAGGUGGCAUUGUUGUGACAGAGUUACCAUACACAUUCUGAGAUUGCAUUUCAGGAGGAUAGCUUUGUUGUGCCUCACCAGGAGAUGUGAAAGUUUGUUGGUUUUCACCAGAAGAAACAGUCUGAGCAGGGGCACCAGAAGAUGCUGC